AUUGAACGCUGGCGGAAUGCUUUACACAUGCAAGUCGAGCGGCAGCACGGGGGCAACCCUGGUGGCGAGCGGCGAACGGGUGAGUAAUACAUCGGAACAUGCCCAGUCGUGGGGGAUAACACUUCGAAAGAAGUGCUAAUACCGCAUACGUCCUGAGGGAGAAAGCGGGGGAUCGCAAGACCUCGCGCGAUUGGAGUGGCCGAUGUCAGAUUAGCUAGUUGGUGGGGUAAAGGCCUACCAAGGCAACGAUCUGUAGCUGGUCUGAGAGGAUGAUCAGCCACACUGGGACUGAGACACGGCCCAGACUCCUACGGGAGGCAGCAGUGGGGAAUUUUGGACAAUGGGGGCAACCCUGAUCCAGCCAUGCCGCGUGAGUGAAGAAGGCCUUCGGGUUGUAAAGCUCUUUCGGCAGGAACGAAACGGUGAGCUCUAACAUAGCGCGCUAAUGACGGUACCUGAAGAAGAAGCACCGGCUAACUACGUG
rnacentral:rRNA from 1 species